rnacentral:lncRNA from 1 species
AUGGCUGGGACAUCCGGGGCAUCAUCCACAGAUGGGCAUCUUCCACAGCUGGGGCAUCAUCCAUGCCUGGGGCAUCAUCUACUGCUGGGGUAUCCACGCCUGGGGCAUCAUCCACUCCUGGGGCAUUAUCCACUGCUGUGGCAUCCACAGAUGGGCAUCAUCCACACCUGGAGCAUCAUCCACUGCUGUGGCAUCCACAGCUGGUGCAUCAUCCACUGCUGUGGCAUCAUCCACAGAUGGGCAUCAUCCACUGCUGGGGCAUCAUCCACUGCUGCAGCAUCAUCCAUACCUGGGGCAUCAUCCUCGCCUGGGGCAUCAUCCACGCCUGGAGCAUCGUCCGCUGCUGGGACAUUAUCCAUGCCUGGGGCAUCAUCCACUGCUGUGGCAUCAUCCACAGAUGGGCAUCAUCCACUCCUGGGGCAUCAUCCACUGCUGUGGCAUCAUCCACAGAUGGGCAUCAUCCACAGAUGGGCAUCAUCCACACCUGCAGCAUCAUCCACUGCUGUGGCAUUAUCCACAGCUGGGGCAUCCACUGCUGGGGCAUCAUCCACUCCUGGGGCAUCAUCCACUCCUGGGGCAUCAUCCACUGCUGUGGCAUCAUCCACAGCUGGGGCAUCACCCACGCCUGGGGCAUUCACUGCUGGGGCAUCAUCCAUGCCUGGGGCAUCAUCCAUUGCUGUGGCAUCAUCCACCCCUGGGACAUCAUCCACUGCUGGGGCAUCACCCACUUCUGGGGCAUUAUCCACUGCUGGGACAUCAUGCCUGGGGCAUCCACUGCUGGGGCAUCCACUGCUGCAGCAUCAUCCACAGAUGGGCAUCAUCCAUGAUUGGAGCAUCAUCCACUGCUGGGGCAUCAUCCAUGCCUGGGGCAUCAUCCACUGCUGUGGCAUCCACAGAUGGGCAUCAUCCACUACUGGGGCAUCAUUCACUGCUGUGGCAUCAUCCACAGAUGGGCAUCAUCCAUGCCUGGAGCAUCAUCCACUGCUGGGACAUCAUCCACACCUGGGGCAUCCACUGCUGGGACAUCAUCCAUGCCUGGGGCAUCAUCCACUGCUGUGGCAUCAUCCACAGAUGGUCAUCAUCCACUGCUGUGGCAUCAUCCACACCUGGAGUGUCAUCCACUGCUGUGGGAUCAUCCACAGCUGGGGCAUCAUUUACUGCUGGGGCAUCAUCCACUGCUGUGGCAUCAUCCACAGAUGGUCAUCAUCCACUGCUGUGGCAUCCACAGAUGGGCAUCAUCCACACCUGGAGCAUCAUCCACUGCUGCGGCAUCAUCCAUACCUGGGGCAUCAUCCACUGAUGGGGCAUCACCCACUGCUGGGGCAUCAUUCACUGCUGGGACAUCAUCCACGCCUGGGGCAUCAUCCAUGCCUGGGGCAUUAUCCACUGCUGUGCCAUCAUCCACAGAUGGGCAUCGUCCACUACUGGGGCAUCAUUUACUGUUGUGGUAUCAUCCACAGAUGGGCAUCAUCCAUGCCUGGAGCAUCAUCCACAGAUGGGCAUCAUCCAUGCCUGGAGCAUCAUCCACUGCUGGGACAUCAUCCACGCCUGGGGCAUCCACUGCUGGGUCAUCAUCCAUGCCUGGGGCAUCAUCCAUUGCUGUGGCAUUCACAGAUGGGCCUCAUCCACUCCUGGGGCAUCAUCCACUGCUGUGGUAUCAUCCACAGAUGGGCAUCAUCCAUGCCUGGAGCAUCAUCCACAGAUGGGCAUCAUCCAUGCCUGGAGCAUCAUCCACAGAUGGGCAUCAUCCAUGCCUGGAGCAUCAUCCACUGCUGGGACAUCAUCCACGCCUGGGGCAUCCACUGCUGGGUCAUCAUCCAUGCCUGGGGCAUCAUCCAUUGCUGUGGCAUUCACAGAUGGGCCUCAUCCACUCCUGGGGCAUCAUCCACUGCUGUGGUAUCAUCCACAGAUGGGCAUCAUCCAUGCCUGGAGCAUCAUCUACUGCUGGGACAUCAUCCACUGCUGGGACAUCAUCCACGCCUGGGGCAUCCACUGCUGGGGCAUCAUCCACUGCUGUGGCAUCAUCGACAGAUGGGCAUCAUCCAUGCCUGGGGCAUCAUCCACUGCUGGGACAUCAUCCACAGAUGGGCAUCAUCCAUGCCUGGAGCAUCAUCCACUGCUGGGAUGUCAUCCACUGCUGGGACAUCAUCCAUGCCUGGGGCAGCAAUCUACUGCUGGGACAUCCUCCAUGCCUGGGGCAUCAUCCACUGCUGCGGCAUCAUCGACAGAUGGGCAUCAUCCAUGCCUGGAGCAUUAUCCACUGCUGGAGCAUUAUCCACUGCUGGGACAUCAUCCAUGCCUGGGGCAUCAUCCACUGCUGUGCCAUCAUCCACAGAUGGGCAUCCACUACUGGGGCAUCAUUUACUGCAGUGGCAUCAUCCACAGAUGGGCAUCAUCCACGCCUGGAGCAUCCACUGCUGCGGCAUCAUCCACUGCUGGGACACCAUCCACGCCUGGGGCAUCCACUGCUGGGACAUCAUCCACGCCUGGGGCAUCAUCUGCUGUGGCAUCAUCCACAGAUGGGCAUCAUCCACGCCUGGAGCAUCCACUGCUGUGGCAUCAUCCACUGCUGGGACAUCAUCCAUGCCUGGGGCAUCCACUGCUGGGACAUCAUCCAUGCCUGGGGCAUCAUCCACUGCUGUGGCAUCAUCCACAGAUGGGCAUCAUCCACGCCUGGGACAUCAUCCACUGCUGUGGCAUCAUCCACAGCUGGGGCAUCAUUCACUUGGGCAUCAUCCACUGCUGUGGCGUCAUCCAUACCUGGGGCAUCAUCCACUGCUGGGGCGUCAUCCAUACCUGGGGCAUCAUCCACUGCUGGGGCAUCUUCCACUGUUGCGGCAUCAUCCACAGCUGGGGCAUCAUCCACUGCUGGGACACCAUCCACGCCUGGGGCAUCCACUGCUGGGACACCAUCCACGCCUGGGGCAUCCACUGCUGGGGCAUCAUCCAUGA